rnacentral:snoRNA from 1 species
AUGGACGUGAUGAUCCUUUCCCCAAAUGAUUGACUUUGAUCAUACUGUGCGUUUUUGUAUUUUCUGUUUCAAGAAAAUUUACCAAGCUAGAAAUCUGAUCCAU